ensembl:misc_RNA Metazoa_SRP Metazoan signal recognition particle RNA
GCCAGGCAUGGUGGCUCAUGCCUGUAAUCUCAGCACUUUGGGAGGCUGAGGUGGGCGGAUCACUUGAGGUCAGGAGUUCGAGACCAGCCUGGCCAACAUGGUGAAACCCCAUCUCUU